CAUCACAAUUACAGACUAUGGAAUCCAGAGGAGACAAGUGUCACAGAGGACAGAACUCCUGCAGCCGACCUCAUCUAAAUGAUUUUAGUAAAAACUACAGGUCUGGAUUCUGGCAACCAAACCACAGGGUCUCUCUAAAAACAGCCCAGCUUCCUCACUUUGGGGUUGGAAGGUCAGAGGAGAAAGAGUACCUUUCCCAUGAAUGAUUGGAAAAUAUUUUCACACCAAGAGAUUAAAAGUGGGAAGGAGAGGUAAAAGGCUGCUUGGCUACAAUAAAGAGAUGAUGGAAAUGAGAAGUCUACAAAAUACUGAAGUCUAACAACAGAAGUUUCCCAAAACGUGCAAAUCUACCUUUAAACAAAAGCCUGUCAAGCAUUAGUCUACAAUCAAGACACUGAUUUACACAGUGGAUUUUCAGGAUUCUUGCAUCUGCAUCAUCAGAAGUGCAAACUGUACAAAAAGAAACCACCAGUUUCACAGAGAAUCUCGUCUCCAUCCACACCUCCAGCUAUUCGUAUCACACAAUUCCUGACCAAUUUCUAACCAAGAAAGCUCAGGACAAAGAGGAAAACAAAAAAGGAGGGAUGGCAGCAUCAAAGAGACUUAUUUUAUUUUACAAAUAAAAGCCAAACGAUAUCU